rnacentral:lncRNA from 1 species
GCAGAGAUUACACGAGUGCCACCAUGCCCAGCUUUAAAAAUACUUUUAUCUUUGAGAAUUUCAUACUUAUACACAAAUAUGGCACCCACCUUUCUUUACCCCCUCCAGCAAGCUCCCCUCCUAAACGUCAUGUCUCUUUUUUUAACUUUAUUGAUCCCUUGUGAAUGCACCCCAAUCCUCUCCUCUCCUCAUCUCUUUGUAUCUUCCCUCCACUCUUGUAACCUCCCCCUAAAAUAAAAUAAAAAUAAAGAAUAAAAGAAAAAAAAACCCAAAAAUAAAAAACAAAUACAAACCUAAAAACUCUCAUUGUGGAAGCUGUAGUGUGUCACAGUGUGUCCCACAGUAUACUCUUUUAGACCACAUGUCUGUACUUGGAAAUGUUCAUUGCUGUGUUACUAGUCUGGUUUGAGGCCUCUGGUUUCUGCUACACCAUCCAUACUGGAUCCUUACCAGGACUCCUCUCAGAAACCCUGUUGUUGCCCUGAGUCAUGGAAGUCCUGCAGUUUUGGAUCUGCAGGACCGUCUCCUUAAAUGCUCCAGCAGUUCAUAGAUGGAGCAGAUGUUGGGGUGGGCCAACUCAACACCCUUGAUCUGGGCCUGGGUGGUAGCUGAGGUGAUCAGCCCUCAAACUCUCCCACACUCACAGCACCAGGACAGGUCUCCAGCGCUGGGCCACCAGUUCACCCAGUGCUGCAGCCAGCAAGGGACAUGAGGGCCAUCUCUCCCUCACCUGCACCACCCCACAGCAAGUGAGUAGGAGGCCAGCUCACCCACACUCCUAACAUCGUGGCCAACUCUAGUGAUGUCACCCAGGUGACGAACAGGGCCUGCUCUCAGGAGUACUAUAGCUGGCAAGAGGCAGGGACAGCAAUCCUGCUCUCCUAACCUGCCACAGGGCUCACCUGAGUCCCCUCAACCCCCAACUGGGCCAUCUCUGCACAGUCGUUGCACAUCAACGUGGUUCCAGGCAGCAGACCAGACCAGGGACAUCCACGUGGCCUUUGGUCAUAAUGUGAGCCACAGACAUAGACACAGGCCCCUGCUGCUGCCUGAUCACAGACCCAGACAUGGCCCUCAGUGACGGCUCGGGCUGGGGCUUCACCGAGCCUCACUCCAUUCUCCUAUCUCUCCACCACAGACUUUCACGUUGUAGUAGCUCCAGCGGCAAGCGAGCCAUGUGAUGGGUGGGCCUCUGGGUGUCUUCGGUCCACCCACAUGCUCAGAAUGAUUCUCUCUCCCCAGCAGCUGCCAACAACUAACAGCUCUUCAGCGAGGGGAGGGGCCUGGAGAUCAUCUACCCGCAUCCACACCAGAGUGUUGGCUGACUUGAUCUUGUAUAGGUCUUGUGGGGGCAGCCAUAGCUGCCAUGAGUGAGACGGACACAGCCCAGAAGCCAACAUUUCACGAUGUUCCUCCCAUCCUGCAUUCCUUCCCUCUCCUGAGCCUUGGUGGUAGUGGUUGUGGGGGGAAUUAAUAUGAUAUUCCGCUUAGGUUGGAGCAAGUAGUCUCCCUCCUUACUCUUUUACCAGCGAUACAUCUCAGCUUUGACUUAUUUCCACUCCAAAAAGAAGCUUCUAUGGCCAAGGCAAAGAAUAGCCCACAUCUAUAGGUGUAAGCAUAAAUAUUUAGGAAACAAAUUUGACAGCAUGAAUAUUUAGCAAAAUAACAAUAGCUGGUUCUACUCUAGGGACUAUGACUCCCAUAGACAUGAGCUAGGAUUACAGCCUCAGAUACAAAAGUCCCUCCACAGGGAUAAUCAAAAAAACAUUGUAAAAAUGCAUGAAAUUCUCAAAGAUGUAGUUAUUUAAAAUGUUACAACUUUUUUUUUUUUAAAUCUGUUUUCCUAAGGAUUCUGGUAAGCUGGGCAUGGUGACACAUGCCUGUAAUCCCAGUCUGAGGCAGAAGAAUAUUGAGUUCAAAGCCAGCCUAAGCUACAUAGUGAGACCCUGACUCAAGAAACAAAGAUGCUCACAACUCCCUAAAACUCCAGUCACAGGGAAUCCAACAUCCUCUUCUGGCCUCUGUGUACCAGACACAUACAUGGUGCAGACAGACAUGCAGCCAAAACAUGCAUACACACAAAAAUGAAGGGAGUUUCAAAGUUAAAAAAACAAAAACAGACAGAAACAACCAUAGGCACUAGAAAUGCUCAUUAUUGUAGCUUGAAAUGACCCCCCCUCCCCCCGUAGACUCAUGUCUAUUGCUCUCCAACUGGUGGACUGCUUGAGAACACUAUGGAACCUUUAGGAAGUUCCUAAAGACAUCCAGAACCUUGCUGGAGGAUGUAGGUGACUGGGGGUGGUCUUUGCUGUUUUAUAACCUGGCCCUGCUUCCUUUGCUCCCUCUGGGUUUCAUGUGUGGGAAUGAAAUGUGAUCAGCCAGCCUCCCGAUGCCAGGCCUAUCUUACACUCCUGCCACCACCAUGCCUCUCCUGUUGUGCUGGGCUGUAUCCCCUCUGGGAAUGUAAGCCCAAAUAAACCCAUUUCCUCCUCCUCCUCCUCCUCCUCCUCCUCCUCCUUCUCCUCCCCCUUCUCCUUCUUCUUCUGGUGUUUUAUCUCAGCAACAGAAAAGUAACUAAUGUGAUCAUGUUGCCAAAUUGCAUUGUAAAUAUAAAUGUUAAAACCCAUAGACCUGAGCUCUCUCGACCUUGAUCAAAGCAGCUGCUUUUUGCAGAAGACACAAGUCAAAGUGGAGGUGCACAACUGGUCACAGUGCUGAAGAGACCGGACGCUCAGCACUAAACGGGACAUCUGUAUUCACACCCCAGCACCAGGGCUCAGGAGCUUUGCAGAAGAAGAGAUGGAAGGAAUAUAACCUGGAGAAUGGGCGAGGUGAGGUGAAGUCCUGUCUUCUGGACAUGGCAUGGCUCACAGUGAUGAGCGCCACCUGCACAAGAUCAAGCCGGCCUGGCAUAGAUAGGGUUGAUGAUCUCCAGGCCCCACCCCUCACUGAGGAGCUAUUGGCUGUUAAUAGCUGCAGGGGAAGGGAAGUUCAUUAGUUUUUGAGGCUGUGGCCAUUGUUAGGUUUCUCACACUCUAUAGGAUGCCCACACUCAUGUGCAUAUAGGCGGCACUAACUGGACUUAGUGGGCUACC